AGCGGCCUAGGCCCCGGGACCUGAGGCCGGGGGUGGGCCCCGUGGCCGCCGCCGACACACCCAGGCAGGGUGAGCCCCGCGCGGGUGUCCAGCCCCCAAGUCAGCCUGGGCCGGGUCGCAGGAGAGGAAAUGACCUUUGGCACUAAAUGAAGACUCCAUUUCUCAUGAUAAAAUGGCAGCAGUGAAAACCCCCAGCAGAGAACUAAAGAAAGCCGAAGAACCAUUUAAUGAUGUAUCACCCCUCCUUUUGAAAAGCCUAGUAGAGGAGCCCAAGAAAAGGAAAGAAGUACCUAAUCACCUCCUAGAAUCAAAGGUUUAUGCAAAACUCAAGAAUAAUAAGGUCAUAGAGGCAAAACCUGGCAUAUUGCAUUUUGGAGGCUAUGAAGUAGAAAAACAACACCAACAGAUUCUGCAUCUGGUCAAUGUAUCCAAUGAAGACAUCAAUGUUCAUAUUAUACCCCCACAAACCAAAUACUUUGAGAUCAAGUAUGUGAAAAAGGAACACCACCUCGUCCCUGGCUUGUCCCUCAUGGUCACCAUUAUAUUUUCUCCUGAUGAAUGGCGAUACUACUAUGACUGCAUCCGUGUUCACUGUAAGGGAGAUGACACUUUGCUUGUUCCCAUCCAUGCCUAUCCUGUUAUGAAUACGCUGAACUUUCCCUCAUUUAUAAAUCUAUCAAAUGUUCUCCUUGGUGAAAGCAAAAAUUAUGUUAUUCCUUUGCAAUGCAGCUGUCCUGUAGAUUUUGAAUUUCAUAUCACUUUGAUUCAGUCUCAUCAAGCCUUUACUGUUGAACCAGCAUCAGGAAUAAUUCCAGCUAACGGGAAGGUGAAUGUGACUAUCAAGUUUACCCCCCUUCAGUAUGGGACUGCGCAAAUAAAGAUACAGCUCUGGAUCUCAGAGUUCAACUCGCAACCAUACGAAUGUGUUUUUACUGGAACCUGCUAUCCCAACACAGGCUUAAAAUCAGAAGAAUUUGAAAGAUUAACUACCCUUUCUAAAAAAGUAGCCGUUCCUCCUGAAAAGGCCAUGUCACGUGUAAAUUUUCGUCAACUUCCAGUAAAGACAAAGCCUCCAAAAAUCAAGGAAAUUGAGUAUCAGAACUUGAGGUUUCCAGUAAAUUUAUCGAAUCCAUUUGCUGUAGCAACUGUUUUAAACCAAGAACCAGGAAGACUGAAGAUUAAACAGUUAAGAGAAGUGUUGGACCAAGGCAAUGAGAUUUCAAAAACAAGACAGAUGAAGGAAGCACUCUUUGAACAGAAAGUCAGACAGGCCACUUACCAGGAGAUCGAAAAUCAUCUUAAGUGGCAGGUGCACCCUGGUAAAGAUCACAUGUCUCUUAAGCUUCAAAAAGAGAUCCUUGAAGAGCGACAAAGAGCAGACACCAAAUAUAAGCUAGAUAGAGGAGAUCCUGUUUUGGAUGAGGAAUUUCAGCGACUCAAGGUAGAAGUUAACCACAAACGAGUCAUUCACAAUCUAAAUGAGAAAAUCAAGGAAUUUCAUCCUAAUUUUGAUCCACUCGUUAAUAAUACUUGGUUCAACAGGUUCAGGGCACAAAGGAGGUUUCAACAAGCAGCGCGCAAGAUUAUGAUCCAACGACGAUUAUUCAUUAUGCUGGAUGCUGUUCGUAACAUGGACAAAGAGGCCGUUAGGAGAAAUCUCAGGGAAGGAAAAGAUUCAAUAUUACAAGAGAAGAGUUCCUCUAAAUUUAUGCUGCGGAUGAGUCAAGAUGAUUAUUCUGGUCAUUUCUCCGUAUCGCCCAUGAAAAUACUGCCCUUCACCUUCCCAUCCUGCUUUACUACCACAACCCCUGAUGAGCUGGCUCCUGAUGGCCUUGGACCAGUCCCAAUUAAACCUUUAGAUCUUCAAAUCAAGCAGAGUUAUUCCUACUUCAGUCUGCAGGUUCCUCAACUGUACAAAAUUAAGGGUUAUCAGUCCUUCUCCAUCCAGAAGUCUGCAAUGAGCGACAGGCCACGGACGCUUGCUCGGGCCCUGAAGCAAGGAGCUGAGGAUGAAGCCACCACCAUCAUAACCCUGCCGAAGCACGACUGCGCACUUCAGCUCCCUGGCAGCUCCUCCGUCUUGAGCAUGCAGCCCCCCGAAGCCUUAGCCAGGUCUCCAGAUUAUGACCCGCUUUAUAUUUUUAAUCCCAGCCCAGGAUUAUUUGCUGUGAUGCACCCCAUGACCUAUGUAGAAACCUCAAUAAAUUACCAUCUGUGCCCGCACCCCAAGUACAAGUUCACCAAAGAGUCCCACACUGGAUCCAGCAUUCCUCUCACCCAAAAACAAUUUCUCCAUCACACGGACAUUAUUCCCGGAAUAAUGCACUGGAAAAGGUUCCAGCCCCUGGUUUUCUCAUCCCUGCUCGACAACCACAAGAUAGAGGCCACACGGAGUUGUGAUUCCUACAAUGUAGCUAUGAUUCCCAUAGAUGUCCCUGCGGUUCUGAACACCUUACCAGAAGAAGACAGAUUGGAAACCAUCGAACGUGAGCUGUGUGAACAGAAUGCAGAAGUUAUUUUGACUCCAGAAAUGAUAGAAGUGGAAUUCGAUAUGUUAGACCACAAGAGCACCAAAAAAGAGAGAGUAUCUCUCAUUCUGGACCUGGCUGAGGGCACAUAUUAUAGCACUGUUUACACACAAGCAACUGAGGAGCCAAAGUUGGAGUCUCAGAACCAGAACGGAUCUGAAUAGUAAGAGCUAUGCUGGGUACUGCACAUACAAGAAUUCAUUGAACUCCCACAAUAACCCUAGGAGAGCUCUCUCUUGGACAGAGCGCUGACCCAUGGAAGAGACAAAGACCCUCCGGCUGGCGUAAGA